UUGGACAAUGGAGGCAACUCUGACCCAGCCAUGCCGCGUGAAGGAAUAAGGCCCUAUGGGUUGUAAACUUCUUUUAGACGGGACAAAACCCCUUUACGUGUAAAGGGUUGAUGGUACUGUCAGAAUAAGCAUCGGCUAACUUCGUGCCAGCAGCCGCGGUAAUACGAAGGAUGCAAGCGUUAUCCGGAAUUAUUGGGUUUAAAGGGUGCGUAGGCGGACUAAUAAGUCAGUGGUGAAAGCCUGCAGCUUAACUGCAGAAGUGCCAUUGAUACUGUUAGUCUUGAGUACAGUUGAGGUAGGCGGAAUGUGUCAUGUAGCGGUGAAAUGCUUAGAUAUGACACAGAACACCGAUUGCGAAGGCAGCUUGCUAAACUGUAACUGACGCUGAGGCACGAAAGCGUGGGGAG
rnacentral:rRNA from 1 species